CAGGGAAUAGUUUAAGAUAGAAUAUCAGCUUUGGGAGUUGAGGGUAAGAUAUAGUAUCUUUUCCCUGA
rnacentral:tRNA from 1 species